rnacentral:pre_miRNA from 1 species
UGGGAAAAGCUAAUCUGCAUCCUGAGGUUUAGAGCAAUGUUUUUGUUGCAUCUAGUCCUUGGGAUGCAGAUUAUCUCUUCCUU